rnacentral:rRNA from 1 species
GACGAACGCUGGCGGCGUGGAUUAGGCAUGCAAGUCGAACGGUAGGGUUCCUUCGGGGACCUGAGAGUGGCGAACGGGUGAGUAACACGUAGGUAAUCUACCCUCAAAUCGGGGACAACCCAGGGAAACUUGGGCUAAUACCGGAUGAGUGCGCUUUCGGGUGCAUAAAAGGUGGCGUAAGCUGCUGUUUGGGGAUGAGCCUGCGCUCUAUUAGUUAGUUGGUGAGGUAACGGCUUACCAAGGCGAUGAUAGAUAGGCGGCCUUAACGGGUGGUCGCCCACACUGGGAUUGAGAUACGGCCCAGACUCCUACGGGAGGCAGCAGUCGAGAAUAGUCUACAAUGGACGAAAGUCUGAUAGUGCGACGCCGCGUGAACGAAGAAGCCCUUCGGGGUGUAAAGUUCUUUAUAUGUGAGCAAUGCUUCCUAGGUGAAUAGUUUAGGGAGAGAGAUAUUAGCAUAUGAAUAAGCAACGGCUAACUCCGUG